GGUUUCCGUAGGUGAACCUGCGGAAGGAUCAUUACCGAUGUAAUCCAAAAGCACGACUCCGUCGUGACUACCGUGUGAACUGUACCAAACUAUUCAGGGGUCGGCGAGUCCGUUAAAUGGCGGUCGGACGCGUGCACCGCGCGCGGCCGCUCCGCCAGCCCCGCCUGUGUUUUUUAACAUACGUGUCUUGUCUGAAACGUGACCACUGCCGUGGUCGAGAGCAAAAAGAAAGAGAGACAACUUUUGACGGUGGAUCUCUUGGCUCACGCAUCGAUGAAGAACGCAGCCAGCUGCGAUAAGUAGUGUGAAUUGCAGAAUUCAGUGAAUCAUCGAAUCUUUGAACGCAAAUGGCGCUCUUGGGUUCUCCCAGGAGCAUGUCUGUCUGAGUGUCGGAUAUCAUCCAACGCACCUAGUCGUGCGGCGUUGAGGCGUCACGGCCCUCCUAGCGGCCGUGUCCCUUGAAAGUCAGAGAGACUCGCCGCGGCACGGGUUCGUUCCCUGCACACUCGCGGAGGCUAAAAACGCUUUUGCCCUUCGCGUGCACGGGAGCGGCCCAGCCGCCGAGUCGCGGAGGCGAACACUCUUCAACUCUUGACCUCAGAUCAGG
rnacentral:rRNA from 1 species